rnacentral:rRNA from 1 species
UCAAGUUUACAAAGGGCGCAGGGCGGAUGCCUUGGCACCAGGAGCCGAAGAAGGACGUGAUAAGCUGCGAAAAGCUGCGGGGAGGAGCAAAUAUCCAUUGAUCCGCAGGUAUCCGAAUGGGGAAACCCGGCAGAAAGAACUUCUGUCACCGUAUGAUGAAUCCAUAGUCAUACGGAGGGAACCCGGCGAACUGAAACAUCUAAGUAGCCGGAGGAAGAGGAAGAAACAUCGAAUCCCUAAGUAGUGGCGAGCGAAAGGGGACGAAGCCCAAACCAAGGAUUUAUCCUUGGGGUUGAGGACCACAUACGAAGAAGCAGUAGGUAGCAGAACGGUUUUGGGAAAGCCGGCCAAAGAGAGUGAAAGCCUCGUAUGCGAAACAGACUGUGAUUCAGUGGUAUCCGGAGUACUACGGGACACGAGAAACCCCGUAGGAAGCAGGGGGGACCACCCCCCAAGGCGAAAUACUACCUGGUGACCGAUAGAGUAUAGUACCGUGAGGGAAAGGUGAAAAGAACCCCGGGAGGGGAGUGAAAGAGAACCUGAAACCCUGUGUCUACAAGCUGCGGAAGAGCGACUAACGCUCGACCGUGUACUUUUUGUAGAACGGUCCGGCGAGUUGCCGUUGCUGGCAGGUUAAGUACUUAAGGUACGGAGCCGAAGGGAAACCGAGUCUUAAUAGGGCGGUAAGUCAGUAACGGCAGACCCGAAACCGGGUGACCUACCCAUGGCCAGGAUGAAGUCUGCGUAAAAGUGGAUGGAGGUCCGAACACACGUCUGUUGAAAAAGGCGGUGAUGAGCUGUGGGUAGCGGAGAAAUUCCAAUCGAACUCGGAGAUAGCUGGUUCUCCCCGAAAUAGCUUUAGGGCUAGCCUCGGUAUAGUCUAAUGGAGGUAGAGCACUGAAUCGCUGCGGGGGCGUCAAAGUCUACCAAUGCGUAUCAAACUCCGAAUGCCAUAUAGAUGUUUACCGGGAGUCAGACUGUAUGAGAUAAGUCGGACAGUCAAAAGGGAAACAGCCCAGACCAUCUGCUAAGGUCCCAAAGUGUAUGUUAAGUGGGAAAGGAUGUGGGGUUUCGAAGACAACUAGGAUGUUGGCUCAGAAGCAGCCAUUCAUUCAAAGAGUGCGUAAUAGCUCACUAGUCGAGAGGUCCUGCGCCGAAAAUGUCCGGGGCUGAAACAUAACACCGAAGCAAUGGAAUAUACCGUAAGGUAUGUUGGUAGGGGAGCAUUGAUAACACGAAGAAGCGGUACCGUAAGGAGCCGUGGAGAGUUAUCAAGAGAGAAUGCCGGAAUGAGUAGCGAGAUGAAGGUGAGAAUCCUUCAGGCCGUAUAUCCAAGGUUUCCAGGGUAAAGCUGAUCUUCCCUGGGGAAGUCGGGACCUAAGCUCAGGCUGAGAAGCGUAGGCGAUGGACAACUGGUUGAUAUUCCAGUACCUCUGGCUGUCAGAAAUGUGGGGACACGGAAAUUCAGGAAGUGCCUGUAAAGGAUUCAGGUGCAAGCAUGGUUUAUGCCGGGCAGGCAAAUCCGUCCGGGUAAGUGAACUGUGUGAUGCGGACCGAAAUAUAAGUAGGGAAGCUCCUGGGAGAGCCGUCGAGAAAAGCCGCUAUUGUGUAGUCAGAGCCCGUACCGUAAACCGACACAGGUGGAUGGGGAGAGUAUCCCAAGGCCGGCGGGAGAAGCAUUGUUAAGGAACUCGGCAAAAUGGCCCCGUAAGUUCGCGAUAAGGGGUGCCUGUAGAGAUACAGGCCGCAGAGAAUAGGCUCAAGCAACUGUUUAGCAAAAACACAGGUCUAUGCGAAACCGUAAGGUGAUGUAUAUGGGCUGACGCCUGCCCGGUGCUGGAAGGUUACGGGGAGUGCUUAGGAGCAAUCCGAAGGUACGAACUUAAGCCCCAGUAAACGGCGGCCGUAACUAUAACGGUCCUAAGGUAGCGAAAUUCCUUGUCGGGUAAGUUCCGACCCGCACGAAAGGCGUAAUGA